rnacentral:rRNA from 1 species
GAUGAACGCUGGCGGCGUGCCUAAUACAUGCAAGUCGAGCGAACGGACGAGAAGCUUGCUUCUCUGAUGUUAGCGGCGGACGGGUGAGUAACACGUGGAUAACCUACCUAUAAGACUGGGAUAACUUCGGGAAACCGGAGCUAAUACCGGAUAAUAUUUUGAACCGCAUGGUUCAAAAGUGAAAGACGGUCUUGCUGUCACUUAUAGAUGGAUCCGCGCUGCAUUAGCUAGUUGGUAAGGUAACGGCUUACCAAGGCAACGAUGCAUAGCCGACCUGAGGGGGUGAUCGGCCACACUGGAACUGAGACACGGUCCAGACUCCUACGGGAGGCAGCAGUAGGGAAUCUUCCGCAAUGGGCGAAAGCCUGACGGAGCAACGCCGCGUGAGUGAUGAAGGUCUUCGGAUCGUAAAACUCUGUUAUUAGGGAAGAACAUAUGUGUAAGUAACUAUGCACAUCUUGACGGUACCUAAUCAGAAAGCCACGGCUAACUACGUG